rnacentral:rRNA from 1 species
UACGUAGGGGGCUAGCGUUGUCCGGAUUUAUUGGGCGUAAAGAGCUCGUAGGCGGUUUGUCGCGUCUGCUGUGAAAACCCGGGGCUCAACUCCGGGCCUGCAGCCGAUACGGGCAGACUAGAGUUCGGCAGGGGAGACUGGAAUUCCUGGUGUAGCGGUGAAAUGCGCAGAUAUCAGGAAGAACACCUAUGGCGAAGGCAGCACUCUGGGACGGUACUGACGCUGAGACGCGAAAGCGUGGGGAGCGAACAGG